GACGGAGGGGGCUAGCGUUGUUCGGAAUUACUGGGCGUAAAGAGCGCGUAGGCGGCUUUGCAAGUUGGAAGUGAAAGCCCGGGGCUUAACCUCGGAAUUGCUUUCAAAACUGUGAAGCUAGAGUGUAGUAGGGGAUGAUGGAAUUCCUAGUGUAGAGGUGAAAUUCUUAGAUAUUAGGAGGAACACCGGUGGCGAAGGCGGUCAUCUGGGCUACAACUGACGCUGAGGUGCGAAAGCGUGGGGAGCAAACAGG
rnacentral:rRNA from 1 species